rnacentral:rRNA from 1 species
AACUCUAAUUAAUAGACUUACGGCGUAAAACGUGUUUAAGAGCUACACAAAUAAAGUCAAACUUUAGCUACGCUGUAAAAAGUCCCAGCUAUCGUAAGCCCUAUCACGAAAGUAACUUUAAACUAUCUGAAUACACGACAGCUGAGACCCAAACUGGGAUUAGAUACCCCACUAUGCUCAGCCCUAAACCUAAAGGGCUACUUUAACAAAACCCUUCGCCAGAGUACUACUAGCUAAAGCUUAAAACUCAAAGGACUUGGCGGUGCUUCACACCCUUCUAGAGGAGCCUGUUCUAUAAUCGAUAAACCCCGAUUAACCUCACCAACCCUUGCCAAAU